GAAUGCUGACAUAAGUAACGAUAAAGCGGGUGAAAAGCCCGCUCGCCGGAAGACCAAGGGUUCCUGUCCAACGUUAAUCGGGGCAGGGUGAGUCGACCCCUAAGGCGAGGCCGAAAGGCGUAGUCGAUGGGAAACGGGUUAAUAUUCCCGUACUUGGUGUUACUGCGAAGGGGGGACGGAGAAGGCUAUGUUGGCCGGGCGACGGUUGUCCCGGUUUAAGCGUGUAGGUGUGUGUUCCAGGUAAAUCCGGUUCACUUUAACACUGAGGCGUGACGACGAGGCACUACGGUGCUGAAGCAACAAAUGCCCUGCUUCCAGGAAAAGCCUCUAAGCAUCAGGUAACAUCAAAUCGUACCCCAAACCGACACAGGUGGUCAGGUAGAGAAUACCAAGGCGCUUGAGAGAACUCGGGUGAAGGAACUAGGCAAAAUGGUGCCGUAACUUCGGGAGAAGGCACGCUGACACGUAGGUGAAGUGAUUUACUCAUGGAGCUGAAGUCAGUCGAAGAUACCAGCUGGCUGCAACUGUUUAUUAAAAACACAGCACUGUGCAAACACGAAAGUGGACGUAUACGGUGUGACGCCUGCCCGGUGCCGGAAGGUUAAUUGAUGGGGUCAGCGCAAGCGAAGCUCCUGAUCGAAGCCCCGGUAAACGGCGGCCGUAACUAUAACGGUCCUAAGGUAGCGAAAUUCCUUGUCGGGUAAGUUCCGACCUGCACGAAUGGCGUAAUGAUGGCCAGGCUGUCUCCACCCGAGACUCAGUGAAAUUGAACUCGCUGUGAAGAUGCAGUGUACCCGCGGCAAGACGGAAAGACCCCGUGAACCUUUACUAUAGCUUGACACUGAACAUUGAGCCUUGAUGUGUAGGAUAGGUGGGAGGCUUUGAAGCGUGGACGCCAGUCUG
rnacentral:rRNA from 1 species